GGGGUUGUUGCUUAGGGGUAGAGUGCUCACCUAGUGUGUGUGAGGCACUGGGUUCGAUCCUCAGCACCUCA
rnacentral:tRNA from 1 species